rnacentral:rRNA from 1 species
GAGUAACACGUAUCCAACCUGCCGUCUACUCUUGGACAGCCUUCUGAAAGGAAGAUUAAUCCAGGAUGGCAUCAUGAGUUCACAUGUCCGCAUGAUUAAAGGUAUUUUCCGGUAGACGAUGGGGAUGCGUUCCAUUAGAUAGUAGGCGGGGUAACGGCCCACCUAGUCAACGAUGGAUAGGGGUUCUGAGAGGAAGGUCCCCCACAUUGGAACUGAGACACGGUCCAA